AUUGAACGCUAGCGGGAUGCCUUACACAUUCAAGUCGAACGGAGUGGCAAAGGGGGGAGUAAUGUAUCUGAACGUGACCAGUAGCGGGGAAUCAAUACGCGAAAGAGUAGCUCAUACAGCAUACUAUUGGAACGUCAGAUAUCGGAAUAGCUAGUUGGUGGGGUAAAGGCUCACCAAGGCGACGAUCCGGAGCUGUUUUGAGCGGACGACCAGCCACCAGGGGACUUAGACACGGCCCAGACUCCUACGUGAGGCAGCAGUGGGGAAUGUUGGACAAGGGGGGAAACCCUGAUCCAGCCAUCCCGCGUGUGCGAUGAAGGUCUUCGGGUUGUAAAGCACUUUUGGCAGGAAAGCGGUACCUGCAGAAUAAGCACCGGCUAACUACGUGCCAGCAGCCGCGGUAAUUC
rnacentral:rRNA from 1 species